rnacentral:lncRNA from 1 species
CGGGAGGAGGGGAGCUCGGAUGCGCUCUCAUCCAUUAGGAGACAAAGAGCAAAUUGCCUUACUUUAAAGUAAAACGCUCUGGCUAAUGAAGGUGCUUGCUGCAUCUGCCACACCACAGAAUGCACCUUCUCCUCAGAAGCACCUCUCUCCCCUCUGGGCAGCAGGAACCCCUCUCAAAAUGAAGAGAUAAGACUCUUCCGGCCCCUACGACCCAAGGCUGUGCUGUGACACCCACACCGCCCUAAUGGAUCGCAGCAGAGAGGCUGAGAUGGAGCUGAGGAGAGGACCCAGCCCACCCAGGGCUGGCAGGAGCCACGAAGUGGACGGGGACAAGGCCGCCUGCCACAGCUGUUGCAUCUGCGGCAAGAGCUUUCCUUUCCA